rnacentral:SRP_RNA from 1 species
GCUGGGUGUUGUGGCGGGUGCCUGUAGUCCAAGCUACUUGGAAGGCUGAGGCAAGAGAAUUGUCUACGCCUAAGAGCUGGAGGUUGCUGUGAGCUGUGACGUCACAGCACUCUACCAUGGGCGACAAAGUGAGACUCUGUCUCAAAAUAAUAAUAAUAAUAAUAGGAUGGUCAUAAGGAGUAAAUAAGAUGAUAAUAAUUGAAACUUUUUUUAAAAAACAGUAUCACUAUGUUGCCCUUGGUAGAGUGCUGUGGCAUCACAGCUCACAGCAACCUCAAACUCUUAGGCUUAAGCUAUUCUUUUGCCUCAG